GCCUUCGUAAGAAGGAGGAAGGUGCAGGCAACGGUAGGUCUGUAUGCUCCGAAUCUCCUAGGCUACACGCGCGCAACAGUGGUGAAGACAAUGGGAUGCAACUCCGAAAGGAGAAGCCAAGCCUCGAAACUUCAUCGUAGUUUAGAUUGUGGGUUGCAACUCACCCACAUGACAACGGAAUUCCUAGUAAUCAGACUUCAUCAUAGUCUGGUGAAUAUGUCCCUGUUCCUUGCACACACCGCCCGUCAAGCCAACCGAGCAGGGUUUAGAUGAGCCCUAAUUUUUUGAUUAUUGCGAAUCUAAGCUCAGUAAGGUGGGUUAAGUCGUCACAAGGUCACCGUAGGGGAACCUGCGGUGGGAUCACCUCCUU
rnacentral:rRNA from 1 species